ACGCGCAAUGAAAGUGAAGGCUCGGAUUGCCGGGCCAGGGGGCGAUCUCUCUCCCAGAUGGGGUGGAGCGCAGCCCCGGGACGUGCCGUUCGCAUUGCCGUCGGCUCGUACCCAGAGCGUACACGUUGGGACCCGAAAGAUGGUGAACUAUGCCUGGCCAGGACGAAGUCAGAGGAAACUCUGAUGGAGGUCCGUAGCGAUUUUGACGUGCAAAUCAAUCGUCCGAGCUGGGUAUAGGGGCGAAAGACUAAUCGAACCAUCUAGUAGCUGGAUCCAUCCGAAGUUUCCCUCAGGAUAGCUGGCGCUCGCANGACCGAGUUUCAUCCGGUAAAGCGAAUGAUUAGAGGCCUUGGGGCCGAAACGANCUCAACCUAUUCUCAAACUUUAAAUGGGUGAGAAGUCGGGCUUGCUCGACUGAAGCACCGACCNUNGAAUCNAGAGUGCCAAGUGGGCCACUUUUGGUAAGCAGAACUGGCGCUGUGGGAUGAACCAAACGCAGAGUUAAGGUGCCCGAGAGAACGCUCAUCAGAUCCCAUGAAAGGUGUUGGUUGCUAUAGACAGCAGGACGGUGGCCAUGGAAGUCGGAA
rnacentral:rRNA from 1 species